UCUUAUGGAUGAGCAAAGAAGUGGUUUCUUAAAAUGGAAACUACUCCUGAUGAAGAUGCUGUUAA
rnacentral:pre_miRNA from 1 species